CCUACGAGAUGGGGAUAACUAUUAGAAAUAGUAGCUAAUACCGAAUAAAGUCAAUUGAGUUGUCAAUUGAUGAAAGGAAGCCUUUAAAGCUUCGCUUGUAGAUGAGUCUGCGUCUUAUUAGCUAGUUGGUAGGGUAAGGGCCUACCAAGGCUAUGAUAAGUAACCGGCCUGAGAGGGUGAUCGGUCACACUGGAACUGAGAUACGGUCCAGACUCCUACGGGAGGCAGCAGCUAAGAAUCUUCCGCAAUGGGCGAAAGCCUGACGGAGCGACACUGCGUGAACGAAGAAGGUCGAAAGAUUGUAAAGUUCUUUUAUAAAUGAG
rnacentral:rRNA from 1 species